rnacentral:rRNA from 1 species
GUUGCAGGGUAUAGACCCGAAACCCGGUGAUCUAGCCAUGGGCAGGUUGAAGGUUGGGUAACACUAACUGGAGGACCGAACCGACUAAUGUUGAAAAAUUAGCGGAUGACCUGUGGCUGGGGGUGAAAGGCCAAUCAAACCGGGAGAUAGCUGGUUCUCCCCGAAAGCUAUUUAGGUAGCGCCUCGUGAAUUCAUCUCCGGGGGUAGAGCACUGUUUCGGCUAGGGGGCCAUCCCGGCUUACCAACCCGAUGCAAACUGCGAAUACCGGAGAAUGUUAUCACGGGAGACACACGGCGGGUGCUAACGUCCGUCGUGAAGAGGGAAACAACCCAGACCGCCAGCUAAGGUCCCAAAGUCAUGGUUAAGUGGGAAACGAUGUGGGAAGGCCCAGACAGCCAGGAUGUUGGCUUAGAAGCAGCCAUCAUUUAAAGAAAGCGUAAUAGCUCACUGGUCGAGUCGGCCUGCGCGGAAGAUGUAACGGGGCUAAACCAUGCACCGAAGCUGCGGCAGCGAACGUAUCACCCAAGACAACUUUACGGAGUUGACGAUUGACGGAGCGAAGCGACGUCAAAGCGUUCAUUAAAGUCGAGUUGGCUUAGGGAUACGUUCGUUGGGUAGGGGAGCGUUCUGUAAGCCUGUGAAGGUGUGUCGUGAGGCAUGCUGGAGGUAUCAGAAGUGCGAAUGCUGACAUAAGUAACGAUAAAGCGGGUGAAAAGCCCGCUCGCCGGAAGACCAAGGGUUCCUGUCCAACGUUAAUCGGGGCAGGGUGAGUCGACCCCUAAGGCGAGGCCGAAAGGCGUAGUCGAUGGGAAACGGGUUAAUAUUCCCGUACUUGGUGUUACUGCGAAGGGGGGACGGAGAAGGCUAUGUUGGCCGGGCGACGGUUGUCCCGGUUUAAGCGUGUAGGUGUGUGUUCCAGGUAAAUCCGGUUCACUUUAACACUGAGGCGUGACGACGAGGCACUACGGUGCUGAAGCAACAAAUGCCCUGCUUCCAGGAAAAGCCUCUAAGCAUCAGGUAACAUCAAAUCGUACCCCAAACCGACACAGGUGGUCAGGUAGAGAAUACCAAGGCGCUUGAGAGAACUCGGGUGAAGGAACUAGGCAAAAUGGUGCCGUAACUUCGGGAGAAGGCACGCUGACACGUAGGUGAAGUGAUUUACUCAUGGAGCUGAAGUCAGUCGAAGAUACCAGCUGGCUGCAACUGUUUAUUAAAAACACAGCACUGUGCAAACACGAAAGUGGACGUAUACGGUGUGACGCCUGCCCGGUGCCGGAAGGUUAAUUGAUGGGGUCAGCGCAAGCGAAGCUCCUGAUCGAAGCCCCGGUAAACGGCGGCCGU